CUCUGCUGCCCUUCGGUGAGAGUUGUAUCCCUGCUUCCUUAUAUUUCUUCCCUUGGAAUAAACUCCUCCGGACUUAGCAAGCAAGAAGCCUUCCUGCUCUUUUUUUCUGGAUUGUGUGGGAGCAUUGAGAGAAAGGAGAACUGCAUUUGAAUGGGAGAAUUACUGUGGAAACCUGGCAGGUCCCCCUCGACACCAAUGAGGAAGUCAUCAAGAAGAAAAGAGUCAGACUCUUCACAGAGCUAUGAUGAAACUAGCAAGCUGGCAGAGUAGCUCCAGCAGAGCCUUCUUUUGGGAAAGCACACCAAAGGAGAUACAGCUGUCGACAUGAAUGAGAAUGAAGAAAAGUGAGGUAGCUUGUACGACUGUGAGUCAAGAGAAAAAUGGCAACAAGGAAACAAGAGGCUGUGAGGAAGCCCAGAGCACGAUUUGGAGAUGGCUGUGAUGACAGGUUAGGACAGCUGUUUUUUCCUUUCUGUCUGAUAUUAGUGGUGCUGGAGGCACCAACAGAGAGAAUUGAAUUGUGCACAUGGUGCUGUCAGAUUUCUCUCCUCUCCCCCACCAGACCUCCUUCCAUCACACACCAGAAAUGCAACUGGCUAGAUCCUGUUCUCUC